UUCCAUCCCUGCAGGGGUGGGAAUCUGCUCCUCAUCCCUGCAGGAAUGGGAAUCUGCUUCCUCAUCCCUGCCAGGACAUCCUGGAGACCUCGGUGCUGAGGGAAGCUCCAGGGGUUCCUCAUUCUGGGUGUCUCCUUGAGGAGUUACACCCAGGAUUGUGCUGGCUUUGCCUGGGCUCGAGUUCUUCCCAGCUGGAACUGGAACUGGGUUGGGAAUGUGUGGGGGAUGCUGCUGGUGCAACCCAGAGCUCCCAGUUUGAUGGUGCAGUGGUAGGAAACGUGGCUCGGGGUCCCUGAUCCCAAAGGAUCCCAUAUCCAGAGGAUUAUUCCUUGCCUGAGAAGGGGUGUUGCUUUCUCCAGCUGUGGAAGUGGUAAUGAGUAAAAAUAAAAAGUAUUUUUUUAAACACUGAAUUAAUUUCUAGACUGCCUAAAAGAGACUUUAUAGCUACACCUGAGUUCUUCCCCAGGGCUGAGGUUCAGCCCAGCACAGGGGCUCUCCCUCAUGCCGGGCUCUGGCUGUGCUGGGAUCAACGGCAGGCACGGGAAAAACCUCCUGCUGUGUUCAGAGAACGGGGAGCUCCACCAAAAUCCUUGGAGAGGGAGGAUCUUGGGUGGUUCCCAGACCUGGCUCCCACCCUCAGAACAAAGGGAGGGUGACCUUCACUCCUGGGGGAGAAUCUGACUUUUCAGAGACACUUUGCUUUGUAUUUUUGUUGGUUUUUUUAAACACAGAAAAAAAAAAGGCUCUUAACAUACACAAGAAAACCUGAACCUGAUUUACGAUUUUGUUAUAUUUGGUUGCUUUAAAAAACCUGUUUUACUAAUUUAAAUAUAUCUGUAGAUGACACUAUAUUUAUUUGAAAGGGGUAAAUAUCUUUUAGUCUUAAUUCUUCUCCAGUAAGCGCUGUGUAUUCCCAAUGUUUGUGUUCCUGGCAGCACAGCAAUUCCACUGACUGAGGGCUGGGCAGCCAGCAGCUCCUGAAUCCAAUGGCCUUGGACAACAAGAUGUCUCUUGCAAUGUAAUUUUUUUUUUUUUGUAGUAUUUCUUGAUUCUUUUAUGUCUGUGGUUUAACAAAUCUGUUCAAUGUUUGGGUUGUUCUAUGUUCUGGGUUGUUUUGUUUUGUUUUUUUAACAAAGAAAGCUGAAUUACAA